GUACUGAUGAAGAGUCCCAACCCAGGACGAAAUAGAUGUCCAGUAC
rnacentral:hammerhead_ribozyme from 1 species